AUGUGCAGUGCAGUGCAGUGUGUUGUGUGUGUGUUUGUGAAUGUGUUGUGUUUGUCUCCUGCAGCUGGUCCCACAGUGAAGCCCUCAGUGUCUCUGCUGCCGUCCUCUUCUCUGCAGAUCUCUGGAGACUCAGCCGCACUGCUCUGCCUGCUCAGCUCUUACUCUCCACAGGGGGCGCUGGUGAGCUGGACACUGGACGGGUCAGAGGUCACCGAGGGGGUUCUGACCAGCGCAGAGAGCCAGCAGGACGGCCGCUACAGCCGCAGUAGCGUCCUGACCCUCAGCAAAGCACGCUGGGAAGAGGGAGAGCUGUACGUCUGCAGAGUAACACAUGAUGGAGCUCCUCAUGAGGUCUCGUUCCACAAGAGCUCUGAGUGCUGAUGUUUCUCUCCUGAAGAUGAGCCGUAUCUGAGUGUCCUGUGUCAGGCAGGAUUCACAUGAGUCUAGUGCUGCAGCUGUAGUGCUUUACAACUCCAUACUGAAAGAGUGUGUGUGUGUGUGUGUGUGUGUGUGUGUGUGUUAUCUUUCAAUCUGCUGUGUUUGCUGCAACAUUCAAUAAAGCUUCUCAACAAGUUCA